rnacentral:rRNA from 1 species
GACAGAGGUGCCAAGCGUUAGGCGGAAUCACUGGGCUUAAAGCGUGUGUAGGCGGGGUCCUAAGUACCUUGUGAAAUCCCACGGCUCAACCGUGGAACUGCUGGGUAUACUGGGUGCCUUGGGUCAUCUAGGGGCUGCCGGAACAAAUGGUGGAGCGGUGAAAUGCGUAGAUAUCAUUUGGAACGCCAACGGCGAAAGCAGGCAGCUGGGGAUGCACCGACGCUGAGACACGAAAGCCAGGGGAGCGAACGGG